UAUAGGAGAAAAGCUUUCUUCUUCCUCCAUUCUUCAGUUCUUCUCUCCUCCAUUAAUUUCAGUUCUUCCCCUCGAUCAUCUUGUUGAGAGGAAUGUCGUCUGGCCUGAGAUCGUACCACAGUGGUGGGUACACGUGGACGGUCUCGGACCAGGCUUCAUUCCCCUCAACAACUCGUCGGAGUAGAGGAAGAAGACGGACAGUGAUGGAGCUCAUCUGGACCUCCUCUGAUAUCCUUUUGCACCAGCAACAAUCUUCGUCUUGCCCUGUGGUAACUGGUAAGUACUCUCUUGGUUCUUCCAGGCAUUUGCACAUUUCAUGCGAUGAUGAACAGAUGAAGCACUGAGUUUGAUGAUUUCAUCUUCCUUAACUCGUGAAGCAAUGACGAUACUAGAUCAAUUGGUUGGAAAGGAAAUCAAUUCAAACAAGCUAGCUAGCUAGUAGCAUCUUGAUCGAUCACUACUCUCUUAGCUAGAUUGUUUUAAUUUUAUCAGCAGCUUCAUCAAAUCGUCAUCAGC
rnacentral:precursor_RNA from 1 species